rnacentral:tRNA from 1 species
GCUCCGUUAGCAUAACUGGUUAGUGCACUCGGCUUUCUACCGGGCGAUGUGGGUUCGAGUCCCAUACGGAGUU